CACUCGUCGCGAGUAUCGGAGCGCGAGCAUGUAUCAAAAGUUUUUAUUUUGGCUUCUUGAAUAAUAUUAUCAUAAGUCCGACUUAUCAGAAAUGUGGUAUUCUCUCCUGAAAAGUAGUAACAAACCAUAUCGUCUACGACAUAAAGAAGCAAGCUUCAAAGUUCAAAUUCGACGAGUAAAGCCACCUGAUGCUAACCACGACAUGGGAAGAUCUACGUAAAACUGUCGUAGCUCAGAACGUGGCUCAAGUAGCCGCUCAGGUGGAAAAUGGAAAGUCUUUGGCUGCUGCCAAUACUUUAGACCUUAUACUGAAUGGAUGGGAGUAAGUACGAACAGCGGAAGUAGAGAUUUAUACUUUAUAAAUCGUCGACUAUAUACCACUUUGUGAAUCGAUUCUAGAAUACCAAACUCAUCUUCAGCGUGCUUCGUCAUCCAAUGCGAUGCUGGCACAAAAUUGAUUUCAGCGACCAACGGCUGGUGAUAUAUAAUAUUUAACAAUGAAACAUUGUUAGGUAUAGCUUGUCGACGGAAAUUACGUUUUCAAUCGUUACAAAUGAAACGCGAAUGUCUGCAACAAGGUCAACAGAUCGUACUUCAGCAAGAACUGAAACUUUGGAAAAGUACUAUCAUGGAUACUACCGUGGAUUUUUAUCGGGAAGCAAUGAACAACAUGCGAGUCAAGAAAGUGUAUAUAACAGUUAAGGUCUUGGCUCUAUUUAUACGUUAUCGCAUACUGAAAGAUUUUCUAAGGAAUAUCGACGAUAACAUGGAUAAUACCAUGAAUAAUACCUGGUUAGAUGUACCAUGUAACCAGUAAGUUGUUUAUCCAUCUUCAACAUCGUUCAAAGAACGAUUUUUUAACGUUCAAUACGUUUCUUCUAAAUGACGAUAUAAUCUUCUGAUCUCAUCACAUUUAAUGACAAUAUUGAUUCGACGAACGAUCUCGUAUCGUCGUAACAGUUUUUCGUAGGUUCUAAUACGAUCAAACUUAAGAACGUGCUGACAUGGUUAUAAAUAUGAAUUUGUUCGUGUACACCGAAGAUACUAUGCUCUUUUUUAUUUCCGAUAAAUGGAAAAUCUUAGAAUUUUUCUUCGAGUCACAUUCGUUCGUCGGAAAUUCGAACAUAGAAAUAUCUAGUUUGAACACUACUUUAUUCAUUCUAUGACCGUGUCGAGACUUCAUUGUUGUCGAUUCGUACGGAAAAAUACCGCAAGAUUUUCUCGUUCGCAAGGAAGAUGAGUCACCGAGAGACGAGAGAAUUUCACAGUUCUCGUAACCUCGCCACAGUCGUAAGAUAAACGGGAAACUCGACAUGGAAAUAUGUGAGAGAGCAAAUCUCAGAGCGCCUAGCAACGAAAACAUGAUGAUAGGAUCAACGACAAGAAUCCAAACACGACACCAACGAAAAUACUCGGUGCGAGAAAGCUGCCGUUUUUCUUUGAUGAUACGACUAGCGAUAUCAAGACACGUUACACAUUUUUAUACUACUAUAUUUGCGUAAAAGAAAGAAUCGUAUUUUCCUACUGGUUCUUUCUAAAUAACUCACAUUAAUUGAAACAAAGAAGAAACUAAUCUUUUUUAUGAAUUUCUCUUAUUCGUUAUCGAUAAUACAUAAUUUAUCUUUUGCAUAUA